rnacentral:misc_RNA from 1 species
UUUCCGUAGGUGAACCUGCGGAAGGAUCAUUCAUAAUAAGUGUUUUAUGGCACUUUUUUAAAUCCAUAUCCACCUUGUGUGCAAUGUCAGGGUUGAUUUUUCUCUCGAGAGGAUCAGCCCCAAACAUCAGCUAUAUCUCAACUCUUUGUCUGAAAAAUAUUAUGAAUAAACAAUUCGAAAUACAACUUUCAACAACGGAUCUCUUGGCUCUC